UACAGAGGGUGCAAGCGUUAAUCGGAAUUACUGGGCGUAAAGCGUGCGUAGACGGUUGCAUAAGUCAGAUGUGAAAGCCCCGGGCUCAACCUGGGAAUUGCAUUUGAGACUGCGUAGCUAGGGUGCGGAAGAGGGAAGCGGAAUUUCCGGUGUAGCGGUGAAAUGCGUAGAUAUCGGAAGGAACACCAGUGGCGAAAGCGGCUUCCUGGUCCAGCACCGACGUUCAGGCACGAAAGCGUGGGGAGCAAACAGG
rnacentral:rRNA from 1 species